rnacentral:rRNA from 1 species
UACGUAGGGGGCGAGCGUUGUCCGGAUUCAUUGGGCGUAAAGAGCUCGUAGGCGGCUUGGCAAGUCGGAUGUGAAAACUCCAGGCUCAACCUGGAGCCGCCAUUCGAUACUGCUAUGGCUAGAGUCCGGUAGGGGAGUGUGGAAUUCCUGGUGUAGCGGUGAAAUGCGCAGAUAUCAGGAGGAACACCAGCGGCGAAGGCGGCGCUCUGGGCCGUCCCUGACGCUGAGGCGCGAAGGCGUGGGGAGCGAACGGG